AUGAACGCUGGCGGCGUGGCUAAGGCAUGCAAGUCGAAUGCUACAUUUCGGUGUGGCAUGGCAAACGGGUGCGUAACACAUUGGUAACUUACCUUCGAGUCGGGCAUAACCCAGAGAAAUUUGGGAUAAUACCCGAUGGACAUGGGGGGACACAGGUCAUUCCUAUGUAAAGAUUUAUCACUCGAAGAGGGGCCUAUGGCUUAUCAGCUAGUUGGUGGGGUAACGGCCUACCAAGGCAAUGACGAGUAGCGGGUGUGAGAGCACGACCCGCCUCACUGGGACUGAGACACUGCCCAGACACCUACGGGUGGCUGCAGUCACGAAUAUUCCCCAAUGGACGAAAGUCUGAGGGAGCGACGCCGCGUGCAGGAUGAAGGCCUUCGGGUCGUAAACUGCUUUUGCAAGGGACGAAUUCUUUGACGGUACCUUGCGAAUAAGAGGUUGCUAACUCUGU
rnacentral:rRNA from 1 species